AUCGAUCGAAUUUCUAGUGGCAAUUCUCUGUCUGUCCCUCGGCUCUGGGGAGAAAGGGGGGGCUGUGGCGUGGGGGCUGAGGAGGGGCUAAGGCGGGAGGGGCUCCUCAUCACUUCACCCUCCCUUUUCGCCAUGUGGGGGCCCUCAGCGCCGCCCCAGAAGAGGUCGAGGGAAUGUUGUGGGCUGGGGCACACCGGCAGGGCAGAAACUGGAGGAAGCGAGAGACGUCGCCAGGGACCCAGGGACCUCUCCCUCCAGUUCCCCGGGCCCGCCCGGCCCUGCUCGCCACUCCUGCUAUAGCGCCCACUCUGUCCCGGGCCGUCCCGCGCCAGCAGUGUAGCCCCCAGCCCGGGCGCCUGAACGCUCUCCCUCCGGAUCACUGCUCGGGUCCCCACUUUGGCGACCGUGCCCCCGAGUCCCGCUUCCCCGAGGCCUGCUCUGGAUCAGGCGCCUGCGCCUUCAAGGGUACCCGGCCCGCCUGCCCUCCCCAAGGGCCGAGUUUGCGCUCCUCCUGGAAUCGUUUGAGAGAAGGACAAACUUUUGAGAGGAUGGAAAUCUAGAGGAGCCGGUCUGCAGUAGGGGUCAUCUAUCCCUUGGAAUGGAGAGGCUGGCGAUUCUGGCUGGUGGCUAUCUUUCCACAGAACACCGCUGAUUAGCCAGGCCCACCGCCAUCCACAUCUGCUCGGCAAAGAAGGAAGGUAGCUUGUUCCAGACCUUGGUGAGCGGCUGCAGACUGCCUGCCUAGAACAGCCUCCUUACUCCAGCCUGGCAGGGAAGGAAGGAACCUGACUUGCUUUGCAGGAUCUGGAAUCUCAGCGCGCAGAGCUGAGAGCCGCAGUUGCAUCCUGGAGCCUGAUGUUAGAAGCAGCUUCUGUCUCUGGGUUCUUGCUGCCAUGGCCUCUGCUCUGUUCAGUUUGCUGUUUUUUCUCCCCCAUGUUGGGGUGGGGGGGUACAGGGAAAUAAAAUGUUUUCUCCCAGGCCCUUAAUCCUUCCCCAUGCCUCCAUCAGCCUCAGAGCUGCUGACAGUCAUGAACUGCAGCUUCCAGCUCUGCCCAUAAGCUACCCAAGCAAAUUCAAAUUCUCUUCUGACCAGGAGGAAGGGCAGAUGCUCCCUCCUUCCUCAAGCCUCCCUGGCUCGUUGAUCCAUUUUGAGGGCAUUUGGGGGUCAAAAUUGAGACCAGAUUGCUUCGGUUUGUAUAAAAUUAGCAUUUCUUAUCACACCAAAGGCCACACCUGUUCUCUGCCCUCACAAACCAGUGAGGAUGUAAAGGUUUGUUGAGGUGGAGGAACAGAAGUGAAAUGAACAAUCUGCUCCAUUUAGAAGUCAGUCGCUUCAGCUGUUCAUUCCACUAAUAUUAUAUAGUACCUACUCUGUGCCAAGCAUUGCCUCUACCUCAGUUUGCCACAAAUAUGAAAAAAAAAGUUUUGCACCUGUGAGACUUCAGUGUGUUGUGGACCAAUAUACAAAUAAAACAAUGGAAAAGAAA